UACAGAGGUGGCAAGCGUUGUCCGGAUUUACUGGGCGUAAAGGGCGUGCAGGCGGUCUGUUAAGUCUAGGGUGAAAGCUCCCGGCUCAACUGGGAGAGGUCCUUGGAUACUGGCGGACUUGAGGGAUGCAGAGGAAAGUGGAAUUCCCGGUGUAGUGGUGAUAUGCGUAGAUAUCGGGAGGAACACCAGUGGCGAAGGCGGCUUUCUGGGCAUUUCCUGACGCUGAGACGCGAAAGCGUGGGGAGCGAACCGG
rnacentral:rRNA from 1 species